rnacentral:lncRNA from 1 species
AGUUCAGACGGAGCCCGGGUGCGCCUGCGCAGUCACGCUCUCCUCUUUCCUCCUCCCAGUCCCUUCUCUACCUCCCCCCUUCCUCUUCCCCGGGCUCCUUCGCUUGGUUCCUCCUCGAACCCCUGCUGGUCCCGGAGCUGCCACGUGAACCUUUGGCCUUGCAGCCCUUUACUAAAGACUGUUGAUUUUUCUGUGGUUUCUUUCCCACCCCCUAGCAGUUACAGGCGACCUAUUUCUCUGGUUCAGUGGGGCCCAGUGCUGGAGAGAGCUGUUGCAGCCGCCCAGCCGGUGCCGGGUUCUGCCCACGGCCCAUUGUUGAUUCUUCGUCCCCACCCGUGGCGGAGGGCGCUUCCACCCACGCUGCCUGUGCUUCCCUCCCUAUACAACUGGCUUAGGCCGUUUGUUGGCUGCCUCGCUGCCACAAAACCUUAUCCUACCGUCCACCCUUUCGCCUCCCUCCCAGACCCCAGGCGGCACGGCUCCCCCCCCCCAAAUCAAAAUCCACUCCUCGCUUCAAAAAAGAGACUUUAUUACCCUGGCAAAUUACUGUUUGGACCAGUCCCCGUUAAAAUCCGUGGUACCCAUCCUUGCCAAACCCGUGUCUCCCUAGGGGGAAAAAGGCAAUCUAGGGAGGGUAACAUUCUGAGAAGUGUUUUUAAUGCUAGACCUCUGUUCGUUUUGGCAGCUGAGACUGAAGAGGAAAAGCUAUUUUGCAUGCAAAGUUACACAGUGCUCCGUUUUGCAGAUGCCCUCGGUGCUUGCUCGUCUUUAGUCCUGGCAAAGUGACAUGUUUGCUUCUCCCUCGUUCUCGCUAGCUCCUCGGGGUUACUCUCGGUCAAAUCUCCAGCGUGUGCAUGAGUGUGUACUACAUUCUUUCAGCCUUCCUUUGUGGAAGGAAAGGCUUCAUUUCCAUCAGAAACCACAUUCCAGUUCUAUUAAAGAAAUGCUUUUAAUUGUCUGAUGGAAUCCUAAUUUCCCGACCACACUGUAGCCUCUAAGAAUGACUUUUAGGAGACCUUGUGGCAUCAAUUUUAUGAUUCGUGCUGUAGUUAAAGCUAAUACUGAUAUUUUAUUGAUUUCUGGGGAUGGAAGGAUGACCUUUCAUGAGAGUUAUGAUCUAGAUUUAUACAAAAUAAUAAGUCUGCCUUCUUCUUGGUCUCUGCCCUCUUUCCCAUUCCUUUUGCUUGACAACAAUAUCUUGGCGUUAAACAGUGAUAUAUGUAAGCCACUGGAGGCUGGGUUGGAAAAAUAAACAUUAAAGUUAUACUAAAUAAGUGCUCCA